AUUAAGCGCCGCAAAUGAGAAAAAUGAUCAAUUAAAAGAUAUCUGAAAAAAUUACCGUUUUCCAGCCAUCUGGGUCUACGAAAGAGGUGAUUUUGGUGUUGAGUCCAGGGAUUGGUCCGGGUUGUCGAGUUAUCUUCCCUCCAAGCUCUUCGGUAACCAGGUUGACAACCUCAGCACUUUUGUAUACAUCAUCAGUACUAAUAGCAACCUACAAAUGAUACCACAAUCAUGAAAAAUAAGUGUGUUCUCAAAUGAAGAAAUAGUCACUGAUGCUUCCACUUGGACUUAUCUUUACCUGAGCAUAUGCAUUUCCCUUGGUAUAUUCAGUCACACCAUAACUAUAAGCUAACUCCAGAACAGUAGUCUGAUUUUCCUCAGCAUAUCCAAGCAUGGCCAGGGCGCACUGUGAUAUAAAUGAAACCACCAAGAUAGGAAAUACAUUACUAAUAUGGGUCACCCUAAUUAAAGUGAAUAAAAUCUUCAAAAGGAGAGGCAGUUCACCUUCAAUUCAGGACUAUCAAUUGUCCUUAACAGUUUCAUCCCCAAAGCCUGCAGAGACCCAACUAACACAACAUCAUUUAAUGGCAGAUCCUUUGGAUUAAAAAGCAAACUAUAAGCAGAUUUGAUAACUAAUACAGGUGAUCCACCGUUGGACAAUAAUGAAAAAAGUGCUGGCAUAAUGCAAGAUGAUCCACAACAGCUUUAGCGAUGAAAAUGAACCACUGGAUUCACAGUUAAACAUACCCAUUGCAACAGGUUUAGCAAGAAAUGGGAAUAAGAGAUCCAGUUACACAUACAGUAUUCAAGCAGAAGAUAGACCUUUUGUCAGACUACCUUUUCAUAGAACUUGAUGGAGCGACCAAGAUCACCAACGCGAAGCAUUACUUGACAGAGUGGUUCAGGAGUUGGACCUCUCUGGAUGAGUUCAAAAAUAUAACCAUCGGGAUCCUUCACAAAGGCAAAGUGAGUUGUCAUACCUUUAAGUGGACCAGGCUCUCUAGUGACAUUGCCACCCUUGGCACGAAUGCUUUCAACCAUUUUGUAAACCUUGAAAUUCCAUGGUAUGCUAGUUCAAUUUCAGUGCUUAGAUAAAAACCAGUGCUCAAAAUCAGUAAAUAUUUUACGACACUUACAUCUUCAGUUGCAAUUGCAAGAUGGCCAAAACCAGUUCCAAUAUCAUAUGAAGUUACACCAUAGUCUGUAAUCAAUAGCAAAGUAAACUCUCAGAAAUAGAUAGAAAAAAAUAGAACCCCAUUCAUAAUCAUUUCCCAAGAAGUACAAUUCUAAUGCAAUUUUCAAGAAGUAGUAACUCUUAUGUUUAGACAAAGAAAAAGUAAGAGCACCAUACUGUAUGUUAACUCCACAACAAAGUAAGACUGUUCGGGGCCAAAUCCAAGAAAGGCAUUUGAGUAUUUCUCUUCUGGGACGUCUCUCUUUCUCAACAGCUUCAUCCCAAAGCAUUCAGUGUAAAAUCUGAAGACAAAAGUACAGAAGAAUAUGAGGACAUCCAAGCACCCAAAAUAAUCAACUACAUCAGGAGCAGUUAAUGUGUUAAAGACAUACUUGAUGGUGCGAUCAAGAUCACCAACACGAUACACAGCAUGAAGGAAGCGUCGCUUAUCUUUCUUUGGCCAUUCCAGCAACUCGACAUUAGCAGCAGCAGGAGAAGCCUCAGCCAUGUUGAUAUGGAAUCACUCUGUUUCCAUUCACAGCAAUGUAAAUAUGAAUAAUAAGACAAAUACAAAUCAUUAGUCUAAUAAUAAAAUAAUCGUACUAUUCUCUUUAGAAAUGUAUACAGCAACACACAAGCAUUCAUUUCAUGACACAAUUACGGAUGUGUAGACUUGAGAUAGCAGUAACCCAAACUUCUUGAUCCGAUAGAAUAGAAACGUAUCAAAUAAAAGUCUCCAGCAUAAUUCAGUAACGUAACGUAAGCCUCAGCCCUCGGUCAUAGCAAAAAUUAACAUAAAAACUAACAAGAGGACACAAAUAUCAGUCGCAUUGGAGCCGAUCCUAGUUUAUGAAAGGUCGGAAAUCAAAAGGACCAUAACAAGAGGAAGAAAAGAGAGCUUACCAGAAAGUCGGAGUGAAGCCGCAAGUGUGAGAAGAUGAUCUAUUUUCUGGACUUAGCUAUGGUGCAACUCUAGUAUGAUACCAUAGCUAUACUUAAUCAUUAAAUUCAACUACUUAAUCAUUGCGUCUCUCACUAUAACUAAAUUCAAUGAUUAAGUGCAGCUAUACACAAUUAUACCAUAGCUGGACCCUCUAUUUACUGAACUUACAUUAUCUUGUUCUGGACUUGACUAGCUAACAGAAUCUGUAAGCUACAGACUGCAGCAUCAGCCGUUGGAUGUGGGUGAGAAACUAAACAAUAGAAAAUCGAAUGGUGGGAUGACGGGAGAUGUUUGUUCUUGUUCUUUAAAUUAUCUUGUUUCUAUCCUCUGAAAAAAAAAAAAAUUAUCCUGUUUCCAUGGAUUCCUUUAGAGUCAUUGUCUGUUACUGAAGGAUGACUGAUGAAAUCAGAUCAACGAUUGAGAUUUGCCUGUGGCUUUUUAGGGUAACGGCUUCGUUGGGGUUUAGUUGUUUGGAUUUUGGAAUAUCAAGCCGGCGAUUUGACCUACGGUCGGACCCGUGUAUGAUUCAAAGCUGUGCCUGUGAUUAAGCGGCGAACUAUAAUCACGUGGCAUUAUUAUAUUAAACAUGUGAUUUCAUAUCUUAUUUAAAUAAAUAAAUACAUUAUUCAUUCCCAUUCCCAAAAAGUAAAGACUCUAUACAACUGAUUAUUUUCACAAUAAAAUCGACAAUAAUUAUUUUAAAAAUUAUUACAUUAUUUUUUUUAACUCUUAUUCUUAAAAUAAUUAAGAGAUAAUUUCCCUAAAUAAAAUUCGGCUGGUGACACGGGAAAAAGGGCCACGAUUCCUCUUAUCCGUAAACAAAUGCAUGAAAAUGGAUACUACUUCUCAAUUAAAUUCCGUGAAGUUUUCAUUCGCAUUCGUUUUCUCUUUGAAGUCGUCACAGUUUAGUCUCGAUUGGAGAUUGAUUGACGUGAAUUCUUCCAUCAAGCCUAACGCUCUGAAACAAGCUGCAAGCCCAACUCGACGGUCAAACUGAAGCCCUUUACAUACAAGAUCUGCCAGCCGUUCACUAAAUAAUUAUUUAUUAAAUGUCUAAAGUCCGAAAUUUUAUUAAUUUUAAAUUUUUUGAAAAUUUCAUUAAUUUAUUUUUUAAAACUUAUGUCUCAUUUUCAGAUAUUUACAUGGGAAUAGAAAAAAUAAAAUUUUGUGACUUUUAUCUAAAUAAAAAAAUGUCUAAAUAACAAAUAAAUAUUAUAUUCCAAAAAUAUCUAUGCAAAAUAAUUUAUUUCUUAAAUUAUAAAAUGUAAUCCUCUUUUUUUGUUUUAAUUUCCAAAGACAUAAAUGUCAAACAACUAAAUUUAAGAUGUUUUUUAUUGUAAAAAUAAAUAAAAUAUCACUUAUAUUCAGAUAUUAAAAAAAAACAAACAAACAUGACAUUAAGAUUUUCGUAUUCAUACCCAUUCAGACUUUAGAAAAACUCAGACUUAUUUAAAUUUUAGACAAAAAAAACAUAAUCCAAAUUUAAGCAGGAGAUCUCAAUUUAAUAAUUCAUCACAUCACAUAGCCGCAAACCACCUAUAUCGUAACAGGCAUAUCGGUGGCUUUCAAUACCAGACACGGUAAUUUAUUCAUACAGAUAGUACAGUAGUAGGAUUUAUUUUUAUGCAAGUGUUUUGCAAAACUCCUCCUACCAUGACAUCAUUAUUCCGACUGAAUUUCCUUCAGAAAAUCUUCAUUGUCAACCAGGACCUACAAAUCGACACAAAAUAACCAUAACAUGAGCGACCAUUGCUUGGAAUGUUAAUACAAAAAAUAAAAAUACAUUCAUUUUUUAUGCAUUAAGUGCCGCAAAUGAGAAAAAUGAUCACUUAAAAGAUAUCAGAGAAAAUUACCGUUUUCCAGCCAUCUGGGUCUAGGAAAGAGGUGAUUUUGGUGUUGAGUCCAGGGAUUGAUCCGGGUUGCCGAGUUAUCUUCCCUCCAAGCUCUUGGGUAACCAGGUUGACAACCUCAGCACUUUUGUAUACAUCAUCAGUACUAAUAGCAACCUACAAAUGAUACCACAAUCAUGAAAAAUAAGGGUGUUCUCAAAUUAAGAAAUAGUCGCUGAUGCUUCCACUAGGACUUAUAUUUAGCUGAUGCUUCCACUAGGACUUAUAUUU
rnacentral:lncRNA from 1 species